rnacentral:lncRNA from 1 species
GGACAUCUCAGCAUGGCUCAGCUUUUGAUUAUAACCAGAGCUACAUGGCAUAUGGCUCCCCUAGAAAACAGUCAGGAAAAGGUUCGAAUCAGAUACCAGAUAACUUUUCGGCAGAAGUUUUACCAUUAAGCUCUCUGAAACAUCCUGGAAGGAAAGAUAAAGCAAUUUUAAGGACUGCUGAUAUUGACAACAACCCACAAGUACUUUCUGCAUCAUCAUCAAGACCUGGAAGUAGUGCUAGAAGAAGUCCUUUCGCAAAGAGAGAAUGCUCAUGGGGCUAUUUAAGUGGAUUUUCUGGUCACCCAAAUUACAUGGCUAAUACGGAAUCAUUCCGGGCUAAGUACCGGUCUCAGAGUGCCCCAAGGCAGAGACU